GACGAACGCUGGCGGCGUGCCUAAUACAUGCAAGUAGAACGCACAGUUUAUACCGUAGCUUGCUACACCAUAGACUGUGAGUUGCGAACGGGUGAGUAACGCGUAGGUAACCUGCCUGGUAGCGGGGGAUAACUAUUGGAAACGAUAGCUAAUACCGCAUAAUAUUAAUUAUUGCAUGAUAAUUAAUUGAAAGGUGCAAUUGCACCACUACCAGAUGGACCUGCGUUGUAUUAGCUAGUAGGUGAGGUAACGGCUCACCUAGGCGACGAUACAUAGCCGACCUGAGAGGGUGAUCGGCCACACUGGGACUGAGACACGGCCCAGACUCCUACGGGAGGCAGCAGUAGGGAAUCUUCGGCAAUGGACGAAAGUCUGACCGAGCAACGCCGCGUGAGUGAAGAAGGUUUUCGGAUCGUAAAGCUCUGUUGUAAGAGAAGAACGGGUGUGAGAGUGGAAAGUUCACACUGUGACGGUAUCUUAACAGAAAGGGACGGCUAACUACGUG
rnacentral:rRNA from 1 species